GUUUCAGCCGCCGCGGUAAAACGUAGGACGCAAGCGUUAUCCGGAGUUACUGGGCGUAAAGCGCGGGCAGGCGGUCUGUUAAGUCUGAUGUGAAAUCUCUCAGCUCAACUGGGAGCAGCCAUUGGAAACUAGCUGACUGGAGUCUGGCAGAGGUAGGCGGAAUUCCGGGUGGAGUGGUGAAAUGCGUAGAGAUCCGGAGGAACACCAGAGGCGAAGGCGGCCUACUGGGCCAGUACUGACGCUGAGCCGCGAAAGCCAGGGGAGCGAACGGGAUUAGAUACCCGCGUAGUCC
rnacentral:rRNA from 1 species